CAGCCGCCGCGGGAAUACGGAGGGUGCAAGCGUUAAUCGGAAUUACUGGGCGUAAAGCGCACGCAGGCGGUCUGACAAGUUAGAUGUGAAAUCCCCGGGCUUAACCUGGGAACUGCAUUUGAAACUGUCAGGCUGGAGUCUUGUAGAGGGGGUAGAAUUCCAGGUGUAGCGGUGAAAUGCGUAGAGAUCUGGAGGAAUACCGGUGGCGAAGGCGGCCCCCUGGACAAAGACUGACGCUCAGGUGCGAAAGCGUGGGGAGCAAACAGGAUUAGAUACCCGAGUAGUCCCUGUCUCUUAUACA
rnacentral:rRNA from 1 species